rnacentral:lncRNA from 10 species
CAAGAACACUGUAUGUUUUUUCCUUGCAUUAGGAAAUGGGGAUAAUUUUGACACUUUUCACUUUAUUUUAGAAAGAGCUUGUACUUUUGUUUUGUAAGGAAAAUAAAAAAGGUAAGCAUGGUAGGGCACAGUGGCUUGUGCCUGUAAUCCCAGCACUUUGGGAGGUCAAGGCUGGAGGAUCACUUAAGCCCAGGAGUUCGAGGCUGCAAUGAGCUAUGAAUACACCACUACAUCCCAGCCUGGGUGAUAGAGCGAGACCUUGUCUGUGGGAAAAAAAAAAAAAAGUGUGAGUGAUACUGUUUAUUACGAAGCUUAAUUUGCAUUGAGGUUAAAUGUUAAUGGGAUUCUCCUCUCUUCUUUUUCUAACUCUGAAAUCCCAUUCUAAGCCUUGAAAUGGGCAGAGCAAGGUAGGAGUCUCCAGCAGGGAGGAGGAGGGGAGUUGUGGUGGCUCAGAGCAACAUGUCAGACCCGAGAGGGUCAGUACUGAUAGGGCACAGCCUGUCAAGGGCUGUCAGAGCCUUGGCAGGGUGACAAGGAUGUUCACAUGUGGGGACAGGCUGGUGUGGGGUUUUGGAGGACAAGCUGAGUGAGGCAGGUAUCUAGAGGUAGAGUGGAUUGGAAUAUGGACCCCCAAAAUAUUUGUCCAAGUGCUAACUCCUAGUACCAAACUCUGUAUUAAUUUCUCAGAGCUGCUGUAACUAAUUAUGUUUAACUUGAUGACUUCAUUCAACAGAAAUUUAUUCUUUCACAGUUCUGGAGACCAGAAGGCCAAAAUCAAAAGUAUGGGCAGGCUUGAUUUCUUUAGAAGACUCCAGCGGAGAACUGUGUCUCCUUGCUUCUGGUGGGUAUUGGCAAUCCUUGGAGUUCCUUGGCUUGUAGGCACAUCGCUUCAAUCUCUGCUUCUGCUUUCACGUGGGGCUCCUCCCUGUAUGUGUCUGUGUUGCCUCCUUUUCUGACUCUCAUAAGAACACUUGUUAUUGGAUAUAGAGCCCUCCCUAAUCCAGGAUGGUCUCAUCUUGAGAUCUUUAUCUUGGUUAUGUCUACAAAGACCCUUAUUCCAAAUAAAGUCACAUUUUGAGAUUUUGGGUGGACAUGUGUUUUGAUGUGCCACUAUUCAACACACUACCAAAGAGGUCACUCAUCACGUGGUUUCAGAGAUCAAGAGGAGUGAGAAUGGCAUCCCUGUGAAGGGGUGGUUUCUUGUGGGGCAUGAAAGCUUAUGCAGGAUAGGAGAGUAUCUAUGCUAGAAGUCACCCAGCAUAAAUGUCAGACCCCAAGUGGGGUGAUGAGGCGAGAUGAGAGAUUGGUUACAUAUGGUAGACUGAUCCAAUGAACUGGAAGAGAUAGUGUAAGUGUGCCAGGAUCUUUCUAUAAUGCUAGUUUGGAAGACUGAUCCCUCAUUUUCCAAGGGAAAAAUAAAUCCCAGUGUCAUAGCUGCAUUCCUGUGUAGAUCUUUGCUUAGGUUUUCUAAAAUUCAGAGCUCAAAGUAUAUCAUCCUUUGUAUUUAAGGAAGUCUUAUGGGUAUCCUCACUUACUCAUGGUGCAAUAAUAUUCCUGCAGAUUCUACAUCUCCAUCCAUGGGCCACUGUUUCAGCAACCUCAGCCAGUGCAACACAACCUCAGCCAAGAAGAGUAUGCAGAGAAAGGAGUCCCCUACCUGCCACAAAACUGUUGUCUGAAAACUGUCUCAUAUUGUCUCAAGUUGUCAUUCAUUGUGAAUUAGACCUGUUUAACAUGUAAUCUGCAACAUGCUUCACUGUCUAAUUUUCCAGAGCCCCUCAUAUAAGGAACUGUAUUAUUGGUAUAAUCAUCAUGGUGAAGAAGUUGGUAUGUGGGGGAGAGAUGACAGAAACAGAGAGUAAGUCAGAGCUGGCUGCCUGACAGAUAAAAAGGAAAUGACCAAAAAAAAAAAAAAAGACACAGAAGAAUACUUUGUUGUCCACACAGAAAAGGGAAGUGUAGGUAAGACAGCAGUAGACUAAGAUUCUUAAGACUCAAGUUCUAGUCUUAUUUAUUAGCUAUGGGAGGCCUUGAGGGAGUUCUAGAAUUAAGUGAUCUCUCUUUAUAAAAUAGGAACAGUAAUAACUUCCUGGCUAACUCCCUGGCUGUCUCACAAUGCUGUAGUAGUAAGAAAUAAUUUUAUAAUUAAAGACUAUUUUAGGGCUGAUUACAUUUUUGGGCAGUGGCUCAUACAUGUAAUUUCAACAUUUUGGGAGGCCAAGGUGGGCGGAUUGCUUGAGCCCAGGAAUUCAAGACCAGGCUGGGCAACACAGACCUUGUCACUACAAAAGAAAAAAACAUUAGCUAGGCGUGGUGAUGUAUGCCUGUGGUCCCAGCUACUCAGGAAGCUGAGACAGGAGGAUCACCUGAGCCUGGGAGGUCGAGGCUACAGUGAGCCAUGAUCACACUACUGCACUCCAGCCUGGGAAACAGAGUGAGACUCUGUCUCAAAAAAAAAAAAAAAGGAAUAUUUUACACUUCAAGGUUCUAUACAAAUGUAAAAUAUCAUUCUAUUACUUAUUUAUAAUGCUGAUUAUUCUUUAAAUGACUUUAAAAUGUUAAUCUCUGCUUGAGCCUACGGAGAAGUAUGUAACAAAUUUGUGAAGGAUUGGCAUUAAACAUAGUCAAAAUAAAACAUAGAAAUUAUGGUAAAUAAUUUAACUGGUAAAAUAAUCUAAGUGGUAGUUCUCAGGUAAGUGGAAAUUCGAUUAGCUGAUUGUUUAGGAUUCUUGGUUAUAAGUGACAGAGACCUGACUAAAAGUACAUGAAGCACAUAACUGAGAAGGUUGUGGUAUGGCUCAGCAGAAAUGGGAAAAUCUUGGGACUGGUUCGUGUUUUAUUUACAUUAUCUUUGUUCCCAGGCAGUCUCUGCAUGUAAGUGGCAAAGAUGACUGUCUGAAAAUAUAUACCUACUUUUUUAAAGGGCUAUCUCAAGCCAUUCUGGAGAAGCACCAAAAGCCACUUUGCUUAUACUGGGAGAAUAGUUUGCUUUCCCUAAUUUGUGAUGAGUGAAACACUGAACAGAGACAUAGAAUAAUAUUCUGUAGUUCAGGGUUGGUGUAAUAUGGCCAGUGGGCGGAAUCUGGUCCUCAGACUGAUUUUGCAAAUAAUCUUAUAGAAACACAGCAACACCCAUUCAUUACAUGUUGUUUAUGGUUGCUUUGGGGUUACAAUGGCAGAGUUGAGUAGUUGUGACAGAGAUCACUAGGCUCACCACAUCUGAGAUAUGUACUGACUGACCCUGUACAGAAAGUUUGCUGCUCUUAGAGGAAUGUGUGUUUCUAGUGUCAGCAAUAAACUUCUUGGAUUUGUUUUGUUUUCUCAUCUUUACAUGAUAGUUGCAGACUAGUUGAUCCUUGUGACCUGUUUUUGAAUGCCACUGUGUAUUCUGUCAGGGCCCUCUGAUUCUGUUUCUUAUGGUGCUGAAUGCACAAUUUAAUGCCCUGGAAUUUCCUUCUGUCUUCUGCUAAACUCAUGCCUCUUCAGAUAGUUAAAAUCCUGUUCUACCUUAGAAGUCUCCAGAGUUAUUUUCCUAAAUUAAGAAGAACUGGCUUUGAAGUUACUCAUUAUGCCACACACAAUGGUUGAAAAGAGCAUCUCUUAUGUACUGUGUAUAUUUCAGCAUCCACUCAGCUUCUUAGGUAGAAAAGGAAGAGUCUUCCACAGUGUAUUUUAUCCAUAUUUGGGUCAGAAACUCUUCUUUACCACGGAGCGUGAUGGAAGAAAGAUAUGGGAUGGUAACAGUAGGCCAGGGAUGUAAUAAUCACAAAAUUUGAGAUAUUUUGUGACUGGUGACUCACGCCUGUGAUCCCAGCAUUUUGGGAGGCCAAAGCGGGCGGAUCACCUGAGGUCAGGAGUUCAAGACCAGCUUGGCCAAUGUAG